rnacentral:rRNA from 1 species
ACGGCGAGUGAAGCGGCAAAAGCUCAAAUUUGAAAUCGGCCAUCAGGUCGAGUUGUAAUUUGUAGAUUGUAUCUUGAGAGCGGAUUAAAGUCUGUUGGAACACAGCGCCUUAGAGGGUGACAGCCCCGUAAAAUCUAUUCUCAUUGUAAGGUACUUUCGAAGAGUCGAGUUGUUUGGGAAUGCAGCUCUAAGUGGGAGGUAAAUUCCUUCUAAAGCUAAAUAUUGACGAGAGACCGAUAGCGAACAAGUACUGUGAAGGAAAGAUGAAAAGCACUUUGAAAAGAGAGUGAAAAAGUACGUGAAAUUGUUAAAAGGGAAGGGUAUUGAAUCAGACGUGGUGCUGUUGUUCAACUUUGUUUCGGCAUGGUGUACUCAGCAGUACUAGGCCAAGGUGGGGUGUUUGGGAGUGAAAAAGAAGUAGGAAUGUAGCUCUUCGGAGUGUUAUAACCUGUUUUCAUAGCUCCUCAGGCGCCUCA